rnacentral:piRNA from 1 species
GGCCACAUAGGGGUACAUGCCACAAA